rnacentral:misc_RNA from 1 species
GAUGAAGAACGUAGCGAAAUGCGAUAAGUAAUGUGAAUUGCAGAAUUCAGUGAAUCAUCGAAUCUUUGAACGCACAUUGCGCCCGCCAGCAUUCUGGCGGGCAUGCCUGUUCGAGCGUCAUUUCAACCCUCGAGCCCCCCCGGGGGCCUCGGUGUUGGGGGACGGCACACCAGCCGCCCCCGAAAUGCAGUGGCGACCCCGCCGCAGCCUCCCCUGCGUAGUAGCACACACCUCGCACCGGAGCGCGGAGGCGGUCACGCCGUAAAACGCCCAACUUUCUUAGAGUCGACCUCGGAUCAGGUAGGAAUACCCGCUGAACUUAAGCAUAUCAAUAAGCGGAGGA